rnacentral:tRNA from 1 species
GGGACCAUAGCUCAGCUGGGAGAGCACCUGCCUUACAAGCAGGGGGUCACAGGUUCGAGCCCUUUGGGUCCCACCC